UCCCUGUGACCAGGAAGUCUGCAUAUGUGC
rnacentral:piRNA from 1 species